rnacentral:rRNA from 1 species
AUUGAACGCUGGCGGCAGGCUUAACACAUGCAAGUCGAGCGGUCGAGGUUGCUUCGGUAACUGAGCUAGCGGCGGACGGGUGAGUAAAGCUUAGGAAUCUGCCUAUUAGUGGGGGACAACAUUUCGAAAGGGAUGCUAAUACCGCAUACGUCCUACGGGAGAAAGCAGGGGAUCACUUGUGACCUUGCGCUAAUAGAUGAGCCUAAGUCGGAUUAGCUAGUUGGUGGGGUAAAGGCCUACCAAGGCGACGAUCUGUAGCGGGUCUGAGAGGAUGAUCCGCCACACUGGGACUGAGACACGGCCCAGACUCCUACGGGAGGCAGCAGUGGGGAAUAUUGGACAAUGGGGGGAACCCUGAUCAGCCAUGCCGCGUGUGUGAAGAAGGCCUUUUGGUUGUAAAGCACUUUAAGUGGGGAGGAGGCUCUCUUGGUUAAUACCUAAGAAGAGUGGACGUUACCCACAGAAUAAGCACCGGCUAACUCUGUGCCAGCCGCCGCGGUAAUAC